GAUGAAGAACGUAGCGAAAUGCGAUAAGUAAUGUGAAUUGCAGAAUUCAGUGAAUCAUCGAAUCUUUGAACGCACAUUGCGCCCCUUGGUAUUCCGAGGGGCAUGCCUGUUCGAGCGUCAUUAACCCCUCAAGCUCAGCUUGGUGUUGGGGCCUGCUGCACUGGCAGCCCUUAAAAUCAGUGGCGGCGCCAUCUGGCUCUAAGCGUAGUAAUUCUUCUCGCUAUGGAGUCCUGGUGGAUGCUUGCCAUCAACCCCCAAUUUUUCUAUGGUUGACCUCGGAUCAGGUAGGGAUACCCGCUGAACUUAAGCAUAUCAAUAAGCGGAGGA
rnacentral:misc_RNA from 1 species